rnacentral:rRNA from 1 species
GAUGAACGCUGGCGGCGUGCCUAAUACAUGCAAGUCGAGCGAAGCGGCGAACGGGUGAGUAACGCGUGAGGAACCUGCCUCUCACAACGGGAUAGCCUCGGGAAACCGGGAUUAAUACCGUAUGGUGAGAGAUGGCCUAGGGUCUGAUUAGUUAGUUGGUGGGGUAACGGCCGCCCAAGACGACGAUCAUUAACCGGCCUGAGAAGGGGAUCGGUCACAGUGUAACUGAGACACGGUCCAAAUUCCUACGGGAGGCAGCAGUGGGGAAGCUUGCACAAUGGGGGGAACCCUGAUGCAGCGACGCCGCGUGGGGUAUGAAGGUUUUCGAAUCGUAAAGCUCUGUCCUAUGGGAAGCGGUACCAUAGGAGGAAGCCCCGGCUAACUACGUGCCAGCAGCCGCGGUAAUAC